GCCGCUAUUAGUAUUAAGAUAGGAUAUUCAAGUGGCGAAACCGAGGCGAUCCAAAAACCGUCUGCAUGGGUAUUUUGUAAUGGAUUAGGGGCGGGUUGAGGGUCGCCUUGUUGAUAAAACAAUUCGAAAAUAAAUAUAACCAUUUGGGUUAGGAUUUGGUAUGGGAUUUCAUACCUAUGAGUUGAAUCACCAACGCCAACAGGGCCA
rnacentral:lncRNA from 1 species